ACGUGCUCCUGUGCAGAUCAACCAAAUGGCCUGGAGUAUGACAUAAGAGCGUAUUCUUGCAGUUGAUGUGAACAGUCGAGUAUUUACAAUCGGAGCAAAGCGGCAAUGGUUAAAAUGACGAAACGUGAUACAACCUUAACAAUGUUAGUAUCCUUGAUCAGCGAAAGUGAAUGAAUCAACGCUAGAAAAUGAUUUCGAUAGGAUUCGAUGCAGAUACUGCGUUUUAUAUCAAACUAUCGGCCAGAUUUGAAAUAUCGCUUUGGAUGUCAUAUAUAUGCCCACAAUCAAACCAAAGAGACCAAUGGCUGAGCCGAAAAUCUCCACGAUCAGAAUCU